AUUGGUGCUCUAACAACAGCACUGACCUUUUCAUAGUAAUUAGUAAGUGCUAUUUGUUGGGGUAGUUUGA
rnacentral:pre_miRNA from 1 species